AGGGAGUCAGGGUCCACGGCACAGCCCCAUCAUUCUGGGGACACUGAGCUGGUGGGAUUGAACCAUGGCCUGGGUCCCUCUUCUCCUCGUGGUGCUCGCCCACAGCACAGGUUCCCUGGUCCAGGCAGCGCUGACUCAGCCAUCCUCGCUGUCAGCCAACGUGGGAGAGACGGUCAAGAUCACCUGCUCUGGGGGUAGCAGUGGCAGCUGGUAUGCCUGGUUCCAGCAGAAGGUCCCUGGCAGUGGCCCUGUCACUGUGAUCUACUACAAUGACAAGAGACCCUCGGGCAUCCCUUCGCGAUUCUCCGGAUCCUUGUCUGGCUCCACGGGCACGUUAACCAUCACUGGGGUCCAGGCCGAGGACGAGGCUGUCUAUUUCUGUGGUGGUCUUGACAGCAGCUAUGUUGGUGUAUUCAGGGCUGAUGCCAACUCAUCUCUGGUGACAGCACCUGUGCCAAAGGACCCUGUGUCUGUGUGAGAGGCUCUCCCCUGU